UCCCUUAUCCACUAAUGUACGGGGUAUUUAUUACAGUAUUCCCAUAUCCACUAAUGUACGAGGUAUUUAUUACAGUAUUCCCUUAUCCACUAAUGUACGAGGUAUUUAUUACAGUAGUAUUCCCUUAUCCACUAAUGUACGGGGUAUUUAUUACAGUAUUCCCAUAUCCACUAAUGUACGAGGUAUUUAUUACAGUAUUCCCUUAUCCACUAAUGUACGAGGUAUUUAUUACAGUAGUAUUACAGUAGUAUUCCCUUAUCCACUAAUGUACGGGGUAUUUAUUACAGUAUUCCCAUAUCCACUAAUGUACGAGGUAUUUAUUACAGUAGUAUUCCCUUAUCCACUAAUGUACGAGGUAUUUAUUACAGUAGUAUUCCCUUAUCCACUAAUGUACGAGGUAUUUAUUACAGUAGUAUUACAGUAGUAUUCCCUUAUCCACUAAUGUACGGGGUAUUUAUUACAGUAUUCCCAUAUCCACUAAUGUACGAGGUAUUUAUUACAGUAGUAUUCCCUUAUCCACUAAUGUACGAGGUAUUUAUUACAGUAGUAUUCCCUUAUCCACUAAUGUAAGAGGUAUUUAUUACAGUAGUAUUCCCAUAUCCACUAAUGUACGAGGUAUUUAUUACAGUAGUAUUCCCUUAUCCACUAAUGUAAGAGGUAUUUAUUACAGUAGUAUUCCCUUAUCCACUAAUGUACGAGGUAUUUAUUACAGUAGUAUUCCCUUAUCCACUAAUGUAAGAGGUAUUUAUUACAGUAGUAUUCCCAUAUCCACUAAUGUACGAGGUAUUUAUUAUCAUAGUAUUCCCUUAUCCACUAAUGUACGAGGUAUUUAUUACAGUAGUAUUCCCUUAUCCACUAAUGUACGAGGUAUUUAUUACAGUAGUAUUCCCUUAUCCACUAAUGUAAGAGGUAUUUAUUACAGUAGUAUUACAGUAGUAUUCCCUUAUCCACUAAUGUACGAGGUAUUUAUUACAGUAGUA